CCUACGGGAGGCAGCAGUGGGGAAUAUUGCGCAAUGGGCGAAAGCCUGACGCAGCGACGCCGCGUGAGGGAUGAAGGUCUUCGGAUCGUAAACCUCUGUUAGCAGGGAAGAACGGUCACUGUGCUAAUCAGCAUUGAUUUGACGGUACUUGCUAAGGAAGCACCGGCUAACUCCGUGCCAGCAGCCGCGGUAAUACGGAGGGUGCGAGCGUUAAUCGGAAUUACUGGGCGUAAAGCGCUCGUAGGCGGUAUGACAAGUCAAGGGUGAAAUCCUCGGGCUCAACGUGGGAACUGCCUUUGAAACUGGCGAACUUGAGUGUGUGAGAGGAUAGUGGAAUUCCAGGUGUAGGGGUGAAAUGCGUAGAUAUCUGGAGGAACAUCAGUGGCGAAGGCGACUAUCUGGCACAUAACUGACGCUGAGGAGCGAAAGCGUGGGUAGCAAACAGGAUUAGAUACCCGUGUAGUC
rnacentral:rRNA from 1 species